rnacentral:lncRNA from 1 species
CUCUUGCAUUCUCCUUUACCACUCGUGGCACCUGAUAAACAUAACUAGGAACGUGAGUUAUUUGGGGAUCUCCUUAGGAAUGGUUCAAGUACGAGGCACCAUUGCUGCCUGUUGCUGCUUGUAUGCGAAUAAAACAGCAGUUCAGAACUAGUGCUAAUACCAGAUGAAUCCUGAGCUUUAGCAACCCAGAAUUCUGGCACAACAAUUGGACAAGAAACGUCACUACAGGAAAAGACCCUUCCCAAGGAAGUUCUGGUGAAGGCAGUGAGUCUGAAGGUUUCUGGGUUCUGUGGAAGAGGGAAAACAUAGAUCUUGCAUCUCUGCAGAAUAUCAUCAAUUUAAAAGAUGCAAAUUAAGGGAGGAGAAAACAGCAGAAUGGAC